rnacentral:lncRNA from 1 species
AGACACACGUUUUACAAGGUUGUUUACGCGGCAACAAGAACCCGGAAGCAGGAAACAGGCGCCAUCUUAGGGGAGCGGCUAAGGCAGCUCCCAACAAUCUCAGGCUGUAGCCCAUGAGUUUGGCUGGGCAUCUGCUUUAAUUAAGUUCAUGUUUUCAGGGAGAUGGCAAAUGUGUGGGGAAGGGAACGUUCAGCCCAUUUAUGAACUUCUAGUCCAGUAAAAUAACAAGGGGAUGGGGCAGAGAGGAGCUGACUUCAAGAGAAAUGACAACAAAAAUGGACUUUCUCAGAAACCCCAGGGUCAGCUGCCCUUCUGCCUAUUCAACAACCAGCAAAGAAGCUGUGUUGUUUUAAGAUGCACGCUAGGGAGCAGAGCAGCAGCUGGCACACACGCUGCUGAAUGCCUCAGCAAGCCCUGGCCCCAGGAAACCCACACCUCACAGGAUUCAGAUGAGUGUGUUUUGAUAGCUUAUGGCUUCAAGGUAUUAAAGGGGGAUUUUCCCGGACUUGCCCAAUCACCCCUGUACAAAACAGAACUGACAGCGACGGAGCAGGUCAACAUCAUUUCAGCCCAGCUUGUCCCCAUUGUACAGAUGAAAAGUCUGAGUGUUGGAGAGGCUGAAUAA